rnacentral:rRNA from 1 species
GACGAACGCUGGCGGCGUGCUUAACACAUGCAAGUCGAACGGAAAGGCCCUGCUUUUGUGGGGUGCUCGAGUGGCGAACGGGUGAGUAACACGUGAGUAACCUGCCCUUGACUUUGGGAUAACUUCAGGAAACUGGGGCUAAUACCGGAUAGGAGCUCCUGCUGCAUGGUGGGGGUUGGAAAGUUUCGGCGGUUGGGGAUGGACUCGCGGCUUAUCAGCUUGUUGGUGGGGUAGUGGCUUACCAAGGCUUUGACGGGUAGCCGGCCUGAGAGGGUGACCGGCCACAGUGGGACUGAGAGACGGCCCAGACUCCUACGGGAGGCAGCAGUGGGGAAUAUUGCACAAGGGGCGGAAGCCUGAUGCAGCAACGCCGCGUGCGGGAUGACGGCCUUCGGGUUGUAAACCGCUUUCGCCUGUGACGAAGCGUGAGUGACGGGAAGGGGUAAAGAAGCACCGGCUAACUACG